rnacentral:misc_RNA from 1 species
CUUACUACCGGCAACCCUGUUUAACAGAUGUAUAUGAAAUGAGACAAUUGGAAUGGAACACUAAGAAAAUUUGGAAAAUGCAAAGCAAAUGUAUAACAAAAGCAAAAUCAAGUAAAGAGCAGAUGGUAUACGAUUUAUAGUUAAGUUAGCGCAUAAAGUUGAAAAAAAAAUAUAAAAAAAUUAAAGUGAAAUUUUUUAAUAAGUGUAAGUAAUUAUAUAUAGCAGCUGGUGUUAAAAUGUGUGGAGGUUUUACUUGUUCGAAGAAUGCGCUAAUUGCGCUGAAUAUUUUGUAUGUGAUGGUGGGAUUCCUGUUGAUUGGCGUUGGAGUAUAUGCGCGUGCUGCUUCCAUUGUCACAAAUCUACCAAUUGUGGGUGGUAUUUUAGCCUGUGGCGUGAUACUGAUAUUAAUAUCAAUUCUCGGACUGGUCGGUGCAGUGAAGCAUCAUCAAGUCAUGUUGUUUUUCUACAUGAUCAUUCUCUUCAUGCUCUUCCUCAUUCAAUUCUCCAUUGCCAGCUCUUGCUUGGCUGUCAAUUCGGAGCAGCAAAAAGAGUUCGCUGAGGAGGGUUGGAAUAAUGUACCAGAUUCGAUGCGCAUGCAAGUUCAGGAUACAUUUACUUGCUGUGGCUUUAAUUCGACACACACAGGCACAUCUUGCGAAGCAGUCACCAAGAAAUGUUGUCCAGAUUAUGUGGACAAUUGCGCUUGCCCACCAUGUCUACCCGCUUUGGAGGAUAAGAUCAGUUAUGCAUUUAAAUUGUGCGGCGGUUUGGGUAUUUUCUUCAGUUUCACUGAGUUCAUUGGUGUAUGGCUAACAGUCCGUUAUCGCAAUCAGAAAGAUCCACGCGGUUUGCCGAGUGCAUUUCUAUAAAAUGCCUUGUGCUGCAAGCAAUUAAACAACUAAUAAUACAUAUUUAAACAAUAUAUAUAUAUCAUACUAAUACGUAUUCAUACAUACAUAAAUCAUCCAUACUACAUUCCUUAACCUAUUUAAAAAACAAAAAAAAAACAAAAAAAGAAAAACAAGAAACCGUACCAACGUCAUAGGUUUUCAUGCAUUUAUAUAUAUAAUUAACAUAUAUACAUACCUACAUACAAUCAUAACUGUUUAUGAAACUGAUUCAUAUACAUAUAUGUACAUAUAGUUAUAAAUAUAUAUAUAAAGUGAAACUAAAAACAUAAUAUGAAACAUAUUUAACGAUAACUUACGCAUUUUAAACAUAACACAAAUGUUUGCCGCAAUUUUGGCGUCUUUUUUAAUAACUGCAAAAGUAAUAUCAUAAAACUGCGAUUUGAUCACUUAAGCCAGGUAUCAAAUGUAUAUUUAUUGUACCGCCGUUGCCGCUGAUCUCAUUAGUACCGUUAUUGGAUUAGGCAUGCAAUUAAUAACACCACCUUAGUAUACACAUAAAUUUACAAAAUAUAUGCACUUUAACAGCAGUUUCAAGUGGAUUAUACAGCUGACUUUUCUCCACCAUCAUCAAUAUUAUACAUACCUAUAUGAGUGUUGUACUUAAAUACUAGGGUACUGGCAGUUUUCUUGGCGCGUCGCUAUCGCAAUCAACAUGAUCCACACUAUCCAGAAGCGCGCACAAUUUUCCCACACAAUUACCAGUAUUAGUGAAAAAUCAUGAAAUCAGUUUGAAAAGAAGGCAGUUAGCGCAAAAUAAUUACCUAAAUUAAGCUUUAAGUUUGCGCAGACGAAUAUAGUUUGGCUUGGAACCGAUUUAGUGGAAACGAACAAAUCACAAACACUUACAUUAAUUUAAAUGUUGUUAUAUUGUAUAUUUUUCGAACACCUUUUUUAGUCACAAUUUAUUAGUUUGCUUUUGAAAAAGUCCGAUUACUUUCUAUGUAUACUUAUUUUGCUUGUAUUUUUUGUGUUCAAUUUUCGCUUGCAUUCACGUAGUCAAAUUAUGUUUAAAUUAAGUUUAUAUAAACUACAUUUGAUUCUUUAAUAUUCUAGUGAUUUUUAAUAACUAAUACAAAUUGUCUUUACUUUUGUUUACAAUUUGUUUAAUUUAGUUAACUCUUUGAGAUUAUUAUUUUUUAAAUAAAGUAUAUAAUUUAAAUAGCAUAAUUGUAAUUUUGUGUAUAGGUUGUUAAAAACAAAAAUAAUACUUGUAUAAAUAUACAUGUGCACAUAAUAUAUACCUUACAUGUGCUAUCUAUGUUUGCUCAAUAGCUCUAUUUUAAAGU